CCAAAGGCUCUUUUCAGAGCCACCACGUUAUCUCUAAAAGACCUGU
rfam:Oryctolagus cuniculus chromosome 12, whole genome shotgun sequence.